AAUUGUCUGAUAAUUAUCAAAAUUAAUAUGAAAUUUUCGUCUUUUUUAUUCAUUUUUUUUAAUCAUUAGGUAUUUCUAACUCAUCAAUCCAAUGCCGGGAGAGGUAAAGAAGUGUUUAAAAUAGAUGAAGAGGAUAGACAAGAACUUGAAAAGGCAAAUAUUUACCCUAUUUAUCUUGCGGGUACAUUGCGAGGCGCUUCAUUCAAAAAAAUAUGUGGAAGAUAUAUUACAGAAAAAUUAAUGGGUAAAACGGUCAAAUUUGGAUUCGGUGGCGAUGCUUAUUUCGAAGAUACUCAGAACAAAAUAGUCUAUAUAAACGACGUAGCUUUAUUUAAGCAGUUAAUGGAUGAAUUUGGUAUCGAAUUCAAGCUCCUUGAAGCGAAAAUAGGAGACACUGAAUACUCAAAACAAAUGAAGACAUUUUUUGACCAAUAUUUAAGUAAAAGCCAAAUUGGAAAAAUUAUAUAUCAUAACUACUAAGUAGCGAGUGAUAAUGAUAUAAGAAAAACAUUUUAUAAAGAAAACAUUUGUUCAAGUAUCAAAAAACUGCUAUUGAAAUAGCUUCUUGCAGUUUUUUGGGUAGAAAAAAUAUAAUAAAAGAUAAUUUUAUUCAAACUUAAAA